GGAGUUGGACAGGUUAUCGUCGCGCACAUUAGUGCGGGGAGGAAAGUCCGGGCUCUAAAGGGCAGAGCGCUGGGUAACACCCAGGGGGAGUGAUCCUCGGAGAGUGCCACAGAAAGCAAACCGCCUAAGCAGUUUUACUGCCGGUAAGGGUGAAACGGUGAGGUAAGAGCUCACCAGGUAUCAUGGUGACAUGAUAGGCUAGGUAAACCCCGUUCAGAGCAAGACCAAAUAGGGAAACAGUUACGACCGGCCCGGUCGUUGUUUUCGGGUAGGUUGCUUGAGGUUAUGAGUAAUCAUAAUCCUAGACGAAUGAUAACCGCCCUCGCAAGAGGGAGACAAAACCCGGCUUAUAGUCUAACUCCAUAU
rnacentral:RNase_P_RNA from 1 species